GAUGAACGCUGGCGGCGUGCCUAAUACAUGCAAGUCGAGCGAACGGACGAGAAGCUUGCUUCUCUGAUGUUAGCGGCGGACGGGUGAGUAACACGUGGAUAACCUACCUAUAAGACUGGGAUAACUUCGGGAAACCGUAGCUAAUACCGGAUAAUAUUUUGAACCGCAUGGUUCAAAAGUGAAAGACGGUCUUGCUGUCACUUAUAGAUGGAUCCGCGCUGCAUUAGCUAGUUGGUAAGUUAACGGCUUACCAAGGCAACGAUGCAUAGCCGACCUGAGAGGGUGAUCGGCGACACUGGAACUGAGCCACGGUCCAGACUCCUACGGGAGGCAGCAGUAGGGAAUCUUCCGCAAUGGGCGAAAGCCUGACGGAGCAACGCCGAGUGAGUGAUGACGGUCUUCGGAUCGUAAAACUCUGUUAUUAGGGAAGAACAUAUGUGUAAGUAACUGCGCACAUCUUGACGGUACCUAAUCAGAAAGCCACGGCUAACUACGUG
rnacentral:rRNA from 1 species